rnacentral:pre_miRNA from 1 species
AAUGUUUGACGCCGUUGACUUUUUAGUACAUGUUUGACCGUUCGUCUUAUUCAAAAAAAUUUAAGUAAUAUCAUUUGAUUCAUUGUUAAAUAUAUUUUCAUGUAGGCAUAUAAUUUUACAUAUUUCACAAAAGUUUUUGAAUAAGACGAACGGUCAAACAUGUGCUAAAAAGUCAACGGUGUCAAACAUU